AGAGUUUGAUCCUGGCUCAGAACGUACGCUGGCGGCACGCCUAACACAUGCAAGUCGAACGAAGUAGCAAUACUUAGUGGCGAACGGGUGAGUAUAAUGUGGGUAUCUGCCCUUUGGUUUGGAAUAACACGAGGAAACUUGUGCUAAUACCGGAUAAGCCUUCACAGGGAAAGCUUUAGCGCCAAAGGAUGAGCCCGCACUUGAUUAGCUAGUUGGUAAGGUAAUGGCUUACCAAGGCUACGAUCAAUAGCUGAUCUGAGAGGAUGAUCAGCCACAUUGGGACUGAGACACGGCCCAAACUCCUACGGGAGGCAGCAGUGGGGAAUCUUGCACAAUGGGGGAAACCCUGAUGCAGCGAUGCCGCGUGAGUGAAGAAGGCCUUUGGGUUGUAAAGCUCUUUCGUCGGGGAAGAAAAUGACUGUACCCGAAUAAGAAGGUCCGGCUAACUUCGUGCCAGCAGCCGCGGUAAUACGAAGGGACCUAGCGUAGUUCGGAAUUACUGGGCUUAAAGAGCUCGUAGGUGGUUAGAAAAGUUGGUGGUGAAAUCCCAAGGCUUAACCUUGGAACUGCCUCCAAAACUUUUUAACUAGAGUAUGAUAGAGGAAAGUGGAAUUUCUAGUGUAGAGGUGAAAUUCGUAGAUAUUAGAAGGAACACCGAUUGCGAAGGCAGCUUUCUGGAUCAUUACUGACACUGAGGAGCGAAAGCAUGGGUAGCGAAGAGGAUUAGAUACCCUCGUAGUCCAUGCCGUAAACGAUGUGUGCUAGACGUUGGAAAUUUAUUUUUCAGUGUCGCAGCAAAAGCGUUAAGCACACCGCCUGGGGAGUACGACCGCAAGGUUAAAACUCAAAUGAAUUGACGGGGACCCGCACAAGUAGUGGAGCAUGUGGUUUAAUUCGAAGAUACGCGCAGAACCUUACCAACACUUGACAUGUUCGUCGCGACUUUAAGAAAUUAAAGUUUUCGGUUCGGCCGGACGAAACACAGGUGCUGCAUGGCUGUCGUCAGCUCGUGUCGUGAGAUGUUGGGUUAAGUCCCGCAACGAGCGCAACCCUUACUUUUAGUUGCUACCAUUUAGUUGGGCACUCUAAAAGAACUGCCGGUGAUAAGCUGGAGGAAGGUGGGGAUGACGUCAAGUCCUCAUGGCCCUUAUGUGUUGGGCUACACACGUGCUACAAUGGUAUCUACAAUGAGAUGCGAAGAGGCGACUCUAAGCCAAUCCCAAAAAGAUACCUCAGUUCGGAUUGUACUCUGCAACUCGAGUACAUGAAGCUGGAAUUACUAGUAAUCGUGGAUCAGCGCGCCACGGUGAAUACGUUCCCGGGUCUUGUACACACCGCCCGUCACACCAUGGAAGUUGGUUACACCUUAAGGCAAAGCAUAAAACCUUUGACUACGGUACGAUCAGCGACUGGGGUGAAGUCGUAACAAGGUAACC
rnacentral:rRNA from 1 species